AGAAGUUUAGGAUAUAUAGUCCAAGAGCCUUCAAAGCCCUAAGAAAACCUAUAAAGUUUAACUUCUG
rnacentral:tRNA from 1 species